GACGAACGCUGGCGGCGUGCCUAAUACAUGCAAGUAGAACGCUGAAGGAAGGAGCUUGCUCUUUCUGGAUGAGUUGCGAACGGGUGAGUAAAGCGUAGGUAACCUGCCUGGUAGCGGGGGAUAACUAUUGGAAACGAUAGCUAAUACCGCAUAAAAUUGAUUAUUGCAUGAUAGUCAAUUAAAAGGUGCAACUGCACCACUACCAGAUGGACCUGCGUUGUAUUAGCUAGUUGGUGGGGUAACGGCUCACCAAGGCGACGAGACAUAGCCGACCUGAGAGGGUGAUCGGCCACACUGGGACUGAGACACGGCCCAGACGCCUACGGGAGGCAGCAGUAGGGAAUCUUCGGCAAUGGACGGAAGUCUGACCGAGCAACGCCGCGUGAGUGAAGAAGGUUUUCGGAUCGUAAAGCUCGGUUGUAAGAGAAGAACGGGUGUGAGAGUGGAAAGUUCACACUGUGACGGUAUCUGACCAGAAAGGGACGGCUAACUACGUG
rnacentral:rRNA from 1 species